UUCGCAAUGCCCGAAAGGGUGACGAAGCGACGCCGCGUGUGGGAAGAAGGCCUUCGGGUUGUAAACCACUGUCGGGAGUUAAGAAAUGCAAGGAUAUGAAUGGUGUCUUUGCUUGACUAAGGCUCCGGAGGAAGCCACGGCUAACUCUGUGCCAGCAGCCGCGGUAAUACAGAGGCGGCAAGCGUUGUUCGGAAUUAUUGGGCGUAAAGAGCACGUAGGCGGCUAUGUAAGUCGGUUGUGAAAGCCUUCCGCUCAACGGGAGAACAGCAUCCGAUACUGCAUGGCUUGAGUGCGGGAGGGGAGAGUGGAACUUCUGGUGGAGCGGUGAAAUGCGUAGAUAUCAGAAGGAACGCCGGCGGCGAAAGCGGCUCUCUGGCCCAUAACUGACGCUGAGUGUGCGAAAGCUAGGGGAGCAAACGGGAUUAGAUACCCCGGUAGUCCUAGCCGUAAACGAUGGGCACUAAGUAGAGGGGUUUU
rnacentral:rRNA from 1 species